rfam:Punica granatum cultivar Dabenzi C5088744, whole genome shotgun sequence.
GGACUUCGGAUCCGAAGAUUGCAGGUUCGAGUCCUGUCACGGUCG